CAGACUCCAUAAAGGAACCUGUUCAAAUAAUAGAGGAACCUCAACCCAGUAUUGCAGCCACUCCUCAAAUUGAAAAGCAGAAAGACAACAUAACACUCACUCCAAAAUCCACAAAAAUGGAUUCCAAGAGUGGAAUGUUUUAUUUGAGGAAGAAGCUGGCUGAAAUUGAGACUGCCCGUGUCAACGAAAUCAAACUUCUUCGGGAAGCACUUGAAAGACACAAUGAAAUUCAAGAACGAAGAAAUGAAAUUUUAGAAAAUUUUUUUAAUUCUUCAAAAAAACAAUAAUGUAUUUUCUAAAUAAAAUAUUUAUAAUAACAUA